rnacentral:lncRNA from 1 species
CACUAGAGGUUGUAGUGUACUCGCAAAUAUCCUCCUCUCUCUCUCAGGGCGCAAGUGAGUGAAAGGCUCGCGGUGCGAUGAUAGUCACUGGUUGAAAGCGAACAGCUGUCUUCCCGUUCCCACUGUGCAUCGAUGUCGACCGGCAGAUGGAAAAGGUAUAGAAGUUAUAGAGACCAAUAAUAGGGGAUUCGAUACGGCGAUCGAUCGGUCAAGUCCCGCCAGGGGGAUAGUCCCGCCAAGGAAGAUACAUCAACGCAUAUCCAUCGCAACAGUUCUGUCAUCUGAGGAUAGCGCAAGAGUCUCUCUCUCUCUCUCUCUCUCUGACUGCAGGAGGACUGAUGCAUUGAAAGCAAAACAUUCAACCUUCAAUUCAACUGGUCUAUCAAUCAAGUCUGUCGAUCAACCAAGUAGGUUUGGUUUCAUUGUUUCUGUCAAUACGUCUCUCCGUUGACUAAUACCCAAUAUAAAGUGUUGCGUUCCCCUGUGAUUUAUUUUGCGCUAUUAUUAAGUGAGAAUCUAUUGGUAUUCAGGCAUUGCUCCUAUGCACAGAGAACCAUAGCACUUCUAAAUCCCUGAGCUUAUACUGUAGACUGAAAAGUUAGAAUUCCAAGAACCAGGAAAUACACUUUCUGGACCUUGAAGAUCUUUCAAGGUGCACUGAAAUAAAGUAACUGGAGGAAAUGAAAAUAUGGAAUGUGACAAGACACACACGCGCUCAUACACACACGGUCUAGGUGACCUUGAUGACGAGGCAAGAUGAGCUUAGAGAGAUUUCAUAAAUCCUUACAAAGCACAAACUCUACAACCCCCUUGUUUUUUCUCCCUCUCUCUACUCUUCCUACUUCUUUAUCUCACAAUUGUUCCUCAUUGUUUGUUUGUGCAUGUGUAUGCCUGUGUACAUGUUUCGAAUGUAUUUAUUAACUCAGCCCCUCACAUUGUUACAGUUGCAGUCUGUGGAUCAGUUUCUCUGUCAGCAUUAUAGAUCACUCUCCUCUCCCGCUGCUGUUUUCAAACUAAUGUUUCCCAGGGG